GACAUUGCCGGUGGGUCCGCAACAGGUCUGCGGCCAUCGGGCACCGAAAUCCCUGGGACCGGUCACGCCACAGCAGGUAUUCGAGUGCGAGAGAUAGAGAGGAAUAUUCGAUAAUGGAUUUUCGAAGAAAAAGGAAAUUUUGGAAGAACGAAAAAGAUGAUACAAGGCGACCCGAUGGUUCUAUGCAUCCAGGUCGAUUAUCUGAGGUUACGCACAUUUUCCGUCGAUUAUGCGAUCGACCUAGAUAAGAACGGGGCUAAGAAUAAUGACUGCGGAUACGAAUACAGAAACGAGGUGAAACGGAUGAAAGAAAAAUUACUUUCCCGGCGAUAUCGAGGAAAUAGUACCAUUAAAAUUUUUAAAUAAAUGGAAGAAGAGGAUUUUUCAAGAUGUCUGAAUAGCAUGUGCACCAUCGCAAUAAUAUAUCAACGUUAACGUUGAUACAAAAUUUUAAACGGUUUAUUAUCUCUUUUAAAGUUACUUGAAGUUUCGUCUUGUUUCCGUUGAAUAAAUAGAAAUGAUGUCACUGCGAUUAAAAUUCGCAAUCGGUAAUGAAGAAUUCAGUGGAAAUAAACGCAUUUGCGGAAAGUAAAAGUGUUCGCAAGGAAUCGAUUCGUUCAAAGUCUUGGUCCACCAAGUCAUUAGCCUUUUUCGUUGCAAGCUCAUCGAAAAUGUUAAUUUGUUCUUUAUUCGCUCCACCAAGUAUCUACUUCAGUUCUCUUCAGAAUGGCGGACCAAGUUAAUUGAUUUUAAAUUAAAAGUCCGUUUUAGAAUUAAAGUUCGGUCGUUGCUUCUCCCAGCGUUUCAGCUUUGUACACGAUUUAAUGUCAAGUGUUAAAAGAGAAAGAAGCUUCGUGUUGUAAAGUUUACCAGGAAAUGCGUAAAUAUCAGUGCACGAGUUUAUAAAUUAUUGAACGAUUCUACGUCGACUAUUAUAUAAAUAAUAUUCGUAUCGUGCCACAAAACAUAUAUGUACCUUUGCUCGACAAGUCAGGAAUGAAUGUGUCAUUUAAAUCACAGUGGAAAUAUAAAUGCAAAAUAUUGUAAUGACAUGUGCGUAAUUAAAGAAACCGAAGACACUAUAAGAGCAUAUAAAAUCUAAGUCGCUUUAACAUUUGCUUGAACCUACACUCCGACCAUAAUCCGCCGAUAUCUAACGACUGACAUUAUAUCCUAUUCCUCUUACAGAGGAGAUUAAAUCGAUUUUUUGGUCACCGGUGUAUAUUUUUUAUGUUUAUCGAUUAAACGGUACCGGGAAUAGCGUUUCGA